rnacentral:rRNA from 1 species
AUUGAACGCUGGCGGCAGGCCUAACACAUGCAAGUCGAACGGUAGCACAGAGAGCUUGCUCUCGGGUGACGAGUGGCGGACGGGUGAGUAACGUCUGGGAAACUGCCCGAUGGAGGGGGAUAACUACUGGAAACGGUAGCUAAUACCGCAUAACGUCGCAAGACCAAAGUGGGGGACCUUCGGGCCUCACACCAUCGGAUGUGCCCAGAUGGGGUUAGCUAGUAGGUGGGGUAAUGGCUCACCUAGGCGACGAUCCCUAGCUGGUCUGCGAGGAUUACCAGACACCAUCGAACUGGGAAAGGGUCCAGACUCCUACGGGAGGCAGCAGUGGGGAAGAUGGCACAAUGGGCGAAAGCCUGUUGCAGCCAUGCCGCGUGUAUGAGGAAGGCCUUCGGGUUGUAAAGUACUUUCAGCGGGGAGGAAGGCGGUGAAGUUAAUAACUUCACCGAUUGACGUUACCCGCAGAAGAAGCACCGGCUAACUCCGUGCCAGCCGCCGCGGUAA